UUAAGUUGUUGCGGUUAAAAGCUCGUAGUUGGAUUUCUGUUGUGAACAGGCCGUCCACCUUUUGGGUGAGUAUCUGCAUUGGUCUCGGCAUCUUCUCGAAAAACGUUUCUGCGCUUGAUUGCGUGGUGCGGAGUUCGGGACUUUUACUUAGAGGAAAUUAGAGUGUUCACGGCAGGCAUACGCCUUGAAUAUAUUAGCAUGGAAUAAUAAUAUAGGAUCUUGGUUCUAUUUUGUUGGUUUCUAGAGCUAAGAUAAUGAUUAAUAGGGACAAUUGGGGGCAUKCGUAUUAACGCGUCAGAGGUGAAAUUCUUUKWUUGCGUUACGACGAACUACUGCGAAAGCAUUUGCCAAGGAUGUUUUCAUUGAUCAAGAACGAAAGUAAGGGGAUCGAAGAUGAUUAGAUACCGUCGUAGUCUUUACCAUAAACUAUGCCAACUCGAGAUUGGACCUCGUUCUACUAUGACUGGUUCAGCACCGUAUGAGAAAUCAAAGUUUUUGGGUUCCGGGGGGAGUAUGGUCGCAAGGCUGA
rnacentral:rRNA from 1 species